rnacentral:rRNA from 1 species
AGAGCGAACGCUGGCGGCAGGCCUAACACAUGCAAGUCGAGCGCCCCGCAAGGGGAGCGGCAGACGGGAGAGUAACACGUGGGAACGUACCCUUUGGUUCGGAACAACCCAGGGAAACUUGGGCUAAUACCGAAUAAGCCCUUACGGGGAAAGAUUUAUCGCCAAAGGAUCGGCCCGCGUCUGAUUAGCUAGUUGGUGAGGUAACGGCUCACCAAGGCGACGAUCAGUAGCUGGUCUGAGAGGAUGAUCAGCCUCACUGGGACUGAGACACGGCCCAGACUCCUACGGGAGGCAGCAGUGGGGAAUAUUGGACAAUGGCGCAAGCCUGAUCCAGCCAUGCCGCGUGGGUGAUGAAGGCCCUAGGGUUGUAAAGCCCUUUCGGCGGGGAAGAUAAUGACGGUACCCGCAGAAGAAGCCCCGGCUAACUUCGCGCCAGCAGCCGC